UACGUAGGGUGCGAGCGUUAAUCGGAAUUACUGGGCGUAAAGCGUGCGCAGGCGGUGAUUCAAGGCAGAUGUGAAAGCCCCGGGCUUAACCUGGGAACUGCGUUUGAAACUGGAUCGCUAGAGUUUAGCAGAGGGGGGUAGAAUUCCACGUGUAGCAGUGAAAUGCGUAGAUAUGUGGAGGAACACCGAUGGCGAAGGCAGCCCCCUGGGCUAGAACUGACGCUCAUGCACGAAAGCGUGGGGAGCAAACAGG
rnacentral:rRNA from 1 species